UACGUAGGAGGCGAGCGUUGUCCGGAAUUACUGGGCGUAAAGCGUGCGUAGACGGUAGCGUAAGUCGGGUGUGAAAGCCCCGGGCUCAACCUGGGAAUUGCAUUCGAGACUGCUCUGCUAGGGUGCGGAAGAGGGGAGCGGAAUUUCCGGUGUAGCGGUGAAAUGCGUAGAUAUCGGAAGGAACACCAGUGGCGAAAGCGGCUCCCUGGUCCAGCACCGACGUUCAGGCACGAAAGCGUGGGGAGCAAACAGG
rnacentral:rRNA from 1 species